rnacentral:lncRNA from 1 species
GUAUCUCCGGUAUCCUAGGGACAGCAACAGGCGCAAAAGAAUAACACCCAGUGCCUGUCUUUGAGGUGCUGCAGUUCAGUAGGAAAAAGAAAUGCAAAUGACCGCAGAGCAGGCUGAAUUCCUCCAAGUUCCAAUGUGGGUGCAGAGGCUCUCUGUGUGCAGGUGCCUUUGGGGCCCCAUAGAGGCCAGGGAGGGGCUAGGGGAUGGUUCUGGGAGGUGAGGGUUCAGGAGCAGCCCUUUCCUGUGCCCCGCUUCUGAAAGUCUCCAUAAACCCCUGUGGCCCACUCUGCCUUCCAGAAAGAGGGGCUGAACUGCGAGGUGGCCACCAACACAGAGGCCCUGCAGAGUGGCUGGAUAGAGAUAUGGAGCUCUACGUCUCUGUGCAGAACCUGAGCCGUCCCAGCUCAGCAAGAAAGCAUCGCUGGAGGGCAGCCUGGUGGAGAUGGAGGUGUGUUACAGGACCCUGCCGGCCCAGCUGCAGGGGCUUAACAGAAGCAUGGAGCAGCAGCUGUGCGAGCUCUGCUGCGACACGGAGCACCAGGACCACAAGCACAGGUCCUUCUGGACGU